CAGGGUUUGUGGAAGGAGCCGAGGCUCAGGUGUACACCCCAGCACCGCUCGUGUUAACGUGGGCUCUGCAGCAGCACUCAGUGCUCAGGCAAAACUCGCACCGAACCCAGCUGUGUUUGGACUGAACUUGCCGGAGUUCUGCUUGAGAAAGGGCACUGAGAAAUAAUAACGUUUUGUAAAAGGAAUUCAUAUACUUUAAUUGUUGAUAUUUUCCCUUCCGAAAACUCACUGAGAGAUCUGCACCGGCAUUUAGGAUAUAUUGCAUAGUUCUCAAUAGUACAUCAGCCCCAGGGAAGGUGCAGGCACGUACCUAUUGCACAGUGCAGAACUCAAGACGGCGAUAGACAACUGUGGAUGCGCACACGCACACCCGCGCACCCCGCAGCACCCCUCGGCGGGCUUUGCCCCACACUUCCCCGUGCCGCCCCCCGCCCCCCGCACAGCGCAGCGCCUGGGUGACGGGGUCAGGCGUGGCGGGAGCGGGGGAGCGGGAGGUGAAGAGCAGCAGCGGGCUCGGGGCUGGCUGCGGCUGCUCGCUGGGCUGAGCGGCUGUGCCCAGAGGGCGGAGUUCCCGCACGCUGCUGCCUCACCGGAGAACCUGCCCUCGGCGCAGCGCUCCGCAACCGGGACCCCACCGCCACCGCCCUCCCCGCGCCGCUCCGUGUGGACCCGCGUCCUCCUCCGCUCGGGGAACCGGGAGGUAGCGGAGCCGCGCUGCCCCCAGUCCUCGUCCUCAUGCGGGGUUCCCGAGCACCUCUCACACCGCAGAGCGUUUUAGUUCCUUUAUUAACGCUUUGCCGCUGCUCCGCUGGCACCGACGCCGGAGAAAACACCACCCGCCAGGAGCGGGGCUGCGUCCGUUCUCGGAGCCGCAGGAGAAGCUGCGGGCGGCGGGGGACGGACGCUUCGUCGGCUGCGGGUAUUUUCCGUGGCGGCCGUUCCGAGGGGGGCUCCGCUUCAUCACAGUUUUCUCAGCUUCGGCAGCUCUGGCGCGACCGUCCCGCCGGCGAGAGGUACGGGCGGUGUGAGCCGGGCCGGGGAGGGAUACCGCCUCCCAUAGCCGUACCGGGGGUCCCGAGUACAAGUUGGGCGGAGGGAAAGGGAUCGUCCCGUGGUGCCGCUCAGCGGAGAGCCCUUGGCUUCUCCCUCGUACUUUCGGCAAGUUUGGUUGUUUCUGAUUUCCGCCCCCCCUCCAGCAACUGCUGCUUUGCAACCUGCAGAGAUAAGGCGGCCUCGCAUCAGAUGAUCGCAGAGAUAAGUAAUCUCUCCCCUUGGUCCGUGCUAAAGCUGACCGUACGCGCUCGAAUCUCAGAGCGCUAA
rnacentral:lncRNA from 1 species